CCAAUAGCGUAUAUUAGUGUUGUUGCGGUUAAAAAGCUCGUAGUUGAAUUUCGGGAUUGGGAUAUAUCGGUCGUGCCUUUAGGGGCAUGAAUCGGUGUGUGGCCAAUUCUCACCUUCUGGUGAAUUGGGAUGCUCUCGGGUGUUUCAAUGAACUAGGACUUUUACUUUGAAAAAAUUAGAGUGUUUAACGCGGGCAUUUUGCUUGAAUACGUUAGCAUGGAAUAAUAAAAUAGGACGAUGGUUCUAUUUUGUUGGUUUUAGGACCACGUAAUGAUUAAUAGGGAUAGUUGGGGGCAUUAGUAUUCAAUUGUCAGAGGUGAAAUUCUUGGAUUUAUUGAGGACUAACUAUUGCGAAAGCAUUUGCCAAGGAUGUUUUCAUUAAUCAAGGACGAAAGUUAGGGGAUCAAAGACGAUUUAUGUACGUCGUAGUCUUAACCAUAAACUAUGCCGACUAGGAAUCAGACAAAGUUAAUUUUUUAACGACUUGUUUGGUACCUUACG
rnacentral:rRNA from 1 species